rnacentral:lncRNA from 1 species
CCCCCUUGCGGUAAAAAUGAUAUGUUCACGCCGCGCGGCCCUGAUGUUGCGUGAUGAAGUUGAUAUACUUUACUUGACCUUUCAAUUUUGAUACAUUGUAUCUGUUAAUUCAAUUCUCUCACCGGAAGCACUGCUGUGUUUUGUAAAAACGAGUUAUAUUGAAGAUAAAUUGACAGGGUAUUUCUUGACAUCAUCUGAAAAAGGUAGAGCCUAGCCUACGCUUAGCAGUCGAGGCCUACUUUGCAAGUUUUAUCUUAAAAUUCGUCGACAGCAUAAAAUCCGCGAGAGGCCAGAAAAACUGAACCUUAUGAACUGUGAUGGUGAUGAGUAUGGUCUUGGGAGACGCCAAGCCGUGUGUCUGAGUGACCAGCCGCACAUCACUCAUUGUCAUCUCCUUGGAGCCCCCAGCACCCCAGGCUCCCUCUCAGUGCCAACGCCAGACUGGAACCCAACUGUCAGCUCUUUGGGUGGAGAGGAUCCCAAGUCCUAACCGGACUCAAGAUUAAUAAGUUCCCCUUGUGUCAGUCUUUCAGGAUCAACCUCCCCCUCCUCUCUGGGCUCUCCUGCUGCUCCCGUAAACAACUACUGUGACAGAGCGGUGAGCUGAGCUGACAGAUCCACACUCCAGCAGCCA